rnacentral:rRNA from 1 species
GAAUUUUAUAUAUAAUUUUAUAAUUAUGUUUUUAAUAGAAUAAUAUUAUAUAUUUUGUUGGGAGGAUAGUUAAAUAUAUAAAACUUUAAUUAAAAUUUUAAAGAUAAAUUAUUAAAUUUUAGAAUGGUUAAUAAAUUAAUAAAGAAUUAAUUACCUUAGGGAUAACAGCGUAAUAUUUUUAGAGAGUUCAUAUUAAUAAAAGUGUUUGC